rnacentral:lncRNA from 1 species
AUGUCGCGUGCAUCCAGUCCCGCAGUCCCUUGGGAUCAGCUAGCGACAUGGCUGGAGAUGAUGACGACCUCCUUUCUGCCAAAGGACACCAGUGUUCCGUUUUCUUCCCACGGAAAGGGCAACCCAGUGUACAAAAGGAUAUUACUCGCUUCACACUUCAAACAUUGGAACAACCUCAUAUCAGGGCAGACCAUCCCAGAAGCCUGCACCUUAGUCAACAAACAGGAAACUGUGGUACCAGCUUACACCAAAGGGGUUGCUAUUCGGCUCAACAAGCGAUGGGGUCAAACCUUAAACCACACGCUGGGUUUCUUCCGACACUCACCUGAAUGUGUGGAACUCGGACUCACACUGGAAGCCACACCCCUCACUGAAGUGUCAUCUCGUGUAGUCUACAUCCUGUUCAACAACUGCACGGCAAUGAACAUCAACAUUCCCAAGGCCUACCGGCUGGGAUGGCUGGUGAGCCAUGACUUUCAUGACUUUGAACUUGUACUACCUGUCAUCGGUCCCAUUCCACCUGCACUGAUACCCGAAGGGAGUAUAGAUGAUACAUUGGUCACUGCACCCUUCAAACUCAUUGCCAUCACAUCUGUUAUGUCGGUGUCUAAAGACCAAGUGUGCAGAACGGAGCUGACCGAGGACCAACACCUCACAAUACACACAGUCUCCCACCAGAACGUUGGUGAGGCUAAUGAACCUACUACACCUCUCAAUACCAAACUGACUGAUGACACACCAACGGAGUAGCCUUACCCAGGUUUUGAAUCUCAAGUGCAGCAAAUUCUACAAGACGCUAAUGCACUUCAGAGCGAUACGGAUCGUCAAGAACUCAGACAAGUUCUGUAUAAGUUCAAAGAAUCCUUUGCCAAAGACUCUCUAGACUGUGGUCUCACCAACCUCCACACGGUGCGCAUCCCUACGCAUCCUGAUGCUCCUCCCACUUUUGUCAGACAGUACAAGAUUCCCAUCGCCUCACACAAACCAGUGCAGGAGAUCAUCGAAUCAAUGAUUGAAAAGGGGGUCAUCCGUCCAUGCAACAGCACCUACUCAGCCCCCAUCUGGCCCGUCCUCAAACCUAACGGCAAAUGGCGACCCACCAUUGACUACAGGAAAAUGAAUCAACAGGUGGCGCUGUCAUGAUGGCCCAUGACCCAGCUAGAACAAGAACUACCCCGAAUCAGAGGAGCCACAAUCUUCUCUACACUUGAUGUGGCCUCUGGAUUCUGGACCAUUCCGGUGCACCCGGAAGACCAACACAAAUUGGCAUUCACAUUUGGCAACUGACAGUUCACCUUCAACAGGUGUCCGUUCGGCUACGCCAACUCACCAGCCGAAUUCAACAUCUUUCUGAACAAAGCCUGCCCAGAUGCUAGAAUGAGAGGGAACCUGAUCUAUGUAGACGAUGUUCUCAUGAAGAGCACAAUGGUGGCCGACCACCUGAAAGAAAUAGACUAUGUUUUGAACCAAUUAUCCACU